UUUGAGAAGAGAGGAAGAGAAAGACUUAUAAAAUAAAUGACAAAGAGGAAGCGUUCCCAGACAGAAAAGUACAUAAGAGACACGACAUUUUACUGAGGGAAUUUUGAGAAAUUCUUCCGAGAAAUCAAAAAGAAACAGCAAAGAGACACAAUGAUGGAAAUGGAAAAAAUGAAGAAUGAGGAGGCCUUGGAAGAUGACAUAGAGACAAAAGAAGAAAAGGAGAAAGGGGGAGAGAAGGAAAAAAUCUCAGAAGCCACUGAGGAGACGGGUGAAACUGUCUACUAUAAGCUGGACAAUCCAGCAGAAGACAUCUAUUCAGCUCCUGGCUUUCCUUGGCCCUCCACUGCAAACA